rnacentral:lncRNA from 1 species
AACAAGAAUGGGAUAAAGAGUUGGCUUACAAUUGCCACUUCACACAAUACAUAAAUUAAACAUACAUCAUUCAGAGUACAAUCAAGAUCCGACUAUGGAACCAAAAUAAAAGAAGACAACCCCAAAUGCUAGAUCCCUGAUCGUCCCAACUAGGCUCCACUACUGAUCAACAGGAAACGAAUACUAACGACCAAGGUCCUCGUCGAACUCCCACUUGAGUUCGGUAGCAUCACCUGCACUGGUAUCGUCGGCACCUGCAACUGUUUUGGUAGAAUCUGUGAGUCACGAGGACUCAGCAAUCUCACACCCGCGAGAUCAAGACUAUUUAAGCUUAUAGGAAGGAUGGGGUAAUGAGGUGGAGCUGCAGCAAGCACUAAGCAAAUAUGGUGGCUAACAUACGCAAAUAAGAGCGAGAAGAGGAGCACGCAACGGUCGAGAAGCUAGAAGUGAUCCUGAAACUACUUACGUCCAAACAUAACCCAAAACCGUGUUCACUUCCCGGACUCCGCCGAAAAGAGACCAUCACGUCUACACAUGCGGUUGAUGCAUUUUAAUUAAAUCAAGUGUCAAGUUCUCUACAACCGGACAUUAACAAAUUCCCAUCUGCCACAUAAUCGCGGGCACGACUUUCGAAAGAUAAUACCCCGCAGGGGUGUCCCAACUUAGCCCAUGAUAAGCUCUCACGAUCAACGAAGGAUAUUCCUUCUCCUGGGAAGACCCGAUCAGUCUCGGAAUCCCGGUUACAAGACAUUUCGACAAUGGUAAAACAAGUCCAGCAAAGCCGCCCGAUGUGCCGACGAUCCCGAUAGGAGCUGCACAUAUCUCGUUCUCAGGGAAACACCGGAUGAGCACUACGUACAACUAAAACCAGACCUCAAGUUUCCCCGAGGGGGCGCUGCAAGUGGCUCUAGUUCGGACCAACACUUAGAGAAGCAUUGGCCCGGGGGGGCUAAAUAAAGAUGACCCUCGGGUUGGCCGACCCAAGGGAAGGGUAAUAGGUUGUUAGGCAAAUGUAAAACUAAGGUUGGGCCUUGCUGGAGGAGUUUUAUUCAAAGCAAACUUCAAGGGGUUCCCAUAGCACCCAACCGCGUAAGGAACGCAAAAUCAAGGAACAUAACACCGGUAUGACGGAAAACUAGGACGGCAAGAGUGGAACAAAACACCAGGCAUAAGGCCGAGCCUUCCACCCUUUACCAAGUAUAUAGAUGCAUUAAUUAAAAUAAGAGAUAUUGUGAUAUCCCAACAUAUCCAUGUUCCAACAUGGAACAAACUUCAGCUUCAACUGCAACUAGCAACGCUAUAAGAGGGGCUGAGCAAAAUCGGUAACAUAGCCAAACAACAGUUUGCUAGGAAAGGUGGGUUAGAGGCUUGACAUGGCAAUAUGGGAGGCAUGAUAUAGCAAGUGGUAGGUAGCGCGGCAUAGCAAUAGAGCGAACAACUAGCAAGCAAAGAUAGAAGUGAUUUCGAGGGUAUGGUCAUCUUGCCUGGGAUCCCGCAAGGAAGAAGAUCAAGUCCAUAAGGUAGACGAACCAGCGUAGUCGAACGGAUCCUCACAAUCGCAACGUUACCGGAACUACCAAGGAGAAGCGCAACCGGAAAGAAGCAAACAUCAUGGUAAACAACCAUCACAUAAACAUGGCAUGAUGCACAAUCAAGUAUGAUGCAUGUUCGGUUUAAAUGAGGCAUGGCAUGGCAAAGUGCAACAAACAAUACUACAAGUUAAGUGGAGCUCAAUAUGCAACGAGUUGCAUAUUGACGAAACACCACAUCAAAUAUUUAGUUCUCUCUUGUUUAUGUACCCAACAAUAUUAAACGUUGUUAAACAUGACAAGAGGUGAAGCAUAAUUAAACUAACUAUUUAGGCAAGUUUAAAUGAGGCCGGAAACAACAAACAACAAUUCUGGAAAAACCUCACAUGCAUAUUUUGAAUUUGCUACUGUUCUGCCCAAAAACAUAUUUUAAUGUUGUUAAACAGUAAAGCAAAGUGCAUCAAGUUAAUCUAUGCAUUUUUCUACCCCAUUUACAUAUAAAGUUUAUUAAAUUCGGAGCUACGGUUAAUUAGUUACGAAAUAAAUCAUUUUAACAUGGCAUUUAUGCAAAAUUAAACAAACAGCAAGUUAAACAUUUUUAACAUGGAUGAAAGUAGCAUAUUAUGAAACUAGAUGAAAUUCUAAGCAUUUUACAUGUUUAAAAAAUUUCAAUCCGAUGCACGUUUGUUGAGUUAUUAUAUGCAUGAACAUGAGGAUGCAAUCUGUAAACAUGCAAUUUUCGGGAUAAUUGGACAAAUUCGCAGCAGCAGAAAAAAAAUACUACGGGCCGAAACUGGCUGGUCCAACAUGCACAGGAGAGGGGCGGGUGCUGCUCACCAUGGGCCAUGGCCCAGUCGGUGGAGAGUUAGGCCGGCCCUUGGCGAGGCAAGAGGAGGCCCCGCGCGGGCAACGUGGUUCUCGUCCACGCUGGUGCUGGAACAGGUCAACGAGGGUGCAGCGCUGGUCUCCUCGAUCGUGAAGCAGGGGAUGCAGGGGUCGACGGCUACGGCCGGGCUUGGCGACGCGGAUGGCGUGGAGGCGAACUGAUCCGGGCGGAGCCUCGCCGGAAUGAAGCAGGAGCGGCGGCGUGGGACUUGAGGCGCAGGGGCGAGGCGAGCUCGAGCAGAUCCGGAGGGUGGCGCUGCUCGGAGGUCACCGGACGAAGCAGGACGACGCGGCGGCGCCAUGGAGCUUGGGCGAGCUCCUGCUCGUUCCUGGGAAGGAGAGGGGGCCACUGUGAGAUGGAGAGGGAAAAAACAGGAGGAGGAGAGGUCGCAGGGUUGGCCUGGACCUUGUGACGACGGCUGCGGCUUGUCGUUCGGCGCAGGGUGAAGCAGAGGAGGCAGGAGCCGGGUCACGGCAGGCCAAGGCGGGGCACGGCAGCAUGGCGCAGGGGCGUUAGCGGAACGGGGUCGCGCCGGGGAAGAUAGGGGGUACCGUGGCGGCAUUCUCGUCGAGGUCCUCCGAGAAGAAGAUGGCGGUGACGCUGUUACAGAGAAAAGAGAGGGAGUCCAGUGAGACAGAGAGCUUCAGCGAAGGAGGGAAAAGGGGCAGGGCGGUGAGGACGGCCUGCUGGUUCGGGCGAGGAACGGAGCAACUCCGGCGAUGGCGCUCGCCGACGCGGGGAGGUGGUCCUAGACGAGGAGGCGUGCUGGUUGGCAGCGAGUGGAGGCCGAGGGGAUUUGGAUCGGGGGCGCAGCCACUGAUUGGAUGGGGAUGGAUUUUGGAUCUGGGAGGAUCCUGAUGUAGAUGGUGGCGGUGCGAGGGUAGGAUCCCUAGAAAUUAGGUGGUUUGUCUAGGUUAGGUUAGGGGGUCUAUAUAUAGCAAGUGGAUUUUUGGAUAAGGGCAUUUGGUCCCUCCGAUCUUAAUCGGACGGUCCCGGAUAAAUAGGCUAGGGAGACCAAAUAAGAAAACGGAGAUGUUUUAUAGAUGUUUGGGGAUGAUCCGGAUCCAAUGGUCACGACUGAGCGGUUCGAGUUCGGGACAGCUUGACGCGCACGCAAGGGGGUCUAUGCACUGUGCAGAGAGAUGAGGCGGACAAAGAAGAGGGAAACAAGAACCCGGUUGGUCUCGAAAUGGUCAACGAAGGCAGGGGACACGGCAACUACAAACGGAUGCAAGCUUUAUGAUAACAUGCAAAUGCAAUGCGCAUGAUGCUAUGAGAUGAGAUGCAACAAACAAAUAAAUAACACAACUGACUCGCAAAACAAGGAAGGCAUCUGGAGCGUCGGUCUCGGGGCAUCACAACACUCCUCCACUUACAAGAGAUCUCGUCCUGAGAUCUAAGGAUGGCACCAGAGAGAAACGAAAGAGGAAGAGGUAAAACAAAGUUGCUUCUUUGAAAAACAAGUGAAACCACAAACCUUAAAGGUUGAAAAGACAUGAAAAGAACACAAGGGUAAGGAUGAAUGGAAACCACUGGUUGAAAUGAGAUGUACAAGGAAUGAUAAAGAACAAUUACGACAACACUCCAGUUGAAAAUGGAAGGGAUAGAAUACGAACUUGGCAAAAUGAAAGCACUUGGAUGAGACUCCUGUUAAAAGAGGAAUGAUAGACACAACACUCCGGUUAAAUGGAUAAGCAAUAAAAGAACAUGAUCUUGUGAAAACGAGAUGAUUGGUAAUGAGAGCAACAUCACAAUGCCUCUGGGACGAACGAAUAAAAGAUAGAUCGUCGGAAUAAGAGAACGGAGAAGGAAAUGAUAACUUCUACCACAAUUGAAUUUGGGAAGCAUCCUUCCAAGAAGGUUAGAAUGGAGUUGUUGGAAAACCAACAACGAAAAGAAUAAGCUUGUAGUGGGCUUAUGGAAAACUUCUCAAAAUUAUGAGGUGAAAUUUUUGCCACUAACGAAAACAAUUGCUUGCUUGAGAUCAACGAAGAGAUGAAAUCUUCUCCCGCCGAGAGGAUGGGAGAAAACUUGGAUCAUUGAUAGACACCACAAUUAGCAACAUUCCUUCGAGAAGGCUUUAAGUGAAAUCUAUACCAAGAUAACGUCAACAAAGAAAUUGUUGGGUUGAAAAGAUACCAUGAAUGAAGAAAAUAUGAUGGGUUUAAAUAUCUCAUUCUUGAUAACUUGUGAAUCAUGAAACAUGAAAAGAAAUUGUCAAGAAUGACAUAUCACCAUCUCAAAAUAAGGUAGAAAGAAUUGCACUUCGGAAUGCAAGAUGAAGAAUGCUUGGACUCCUCAAAACAUAACAUGUGUUAAGCACCCUGUUUAAUUUUGAGUAUAUCUUGGCGGAUCAUAACUUCGAGAGAAUUCUUGAAGAACAAUUGAAGAAUGAAAGGAAUCCCUUGAUGAGCCACCAUGCUGAUCCUCCAUGAAGAACUCCGAUAAUAAAAGAAUGAUCAAACAAAAGGGAAAGUUGGAAAGAACUCUGGGAGAAGCCUUGCAAUGAUUAGAUGAAGCUUUGAAAUGAUAUAAUUGAAAUAACUUGGAGCUCCGGAAAGAAAAAUGAACAAAUGAGAUCAAGAAUUUUGAAGAAUCUCUGGAAUAAGGAAUUAAUCACUUGGGUAAAACAAGAAUAAGAAUUAAGUUAUGCAUAUCCUUCACCAAUUUAAAUUGAUGACAAGCAACGGAUUUGGCAUACCACUUAUUCUCGUAGAAAGGAUUAAGAGAGAUAUAGCAUAAACUUAGGAAGGUCUUCAACGAUCCACCGGUAGGAUUUGGAAGAAGGAAUGAAUUGAUAUGAUAACCAAGGAAGGGAACUCUUGAACGAACCACCGUAAGAAUUGAAAAUGAACAAAGAAAAGAUAAAGAAACACCGGGAAGAAUUAUAAAAGAACGAAGAUACUUUAGAGAAUUUAGAUACAUGAGAACGAAGAGAUCAUGAACUAAUUAGAGGAUAUUUGAACGAUGCACCGGUAAGAUUUGGGGAAUGAGAUCUGAAAGCUGAGAAUGAAUAAUACUGAGAUGAUGGGCUCCGGAGAAUCAAACUGAAAAGACUCCUGAAGUGCUUCGGUUGGGUGAAAAGAAUUCUCGCAAUCGAAAAUAAUUAUGAGAGGAUGGCAUCAAGCUAGAACCAUGAAUCUUGAAGAGAAUGGAGCAAGAUUUAAGAGAAACUCUUCUUUGGUCUUCAAAUGUUGAGAAUGACGAUGAGAAACACCACCAUGAAUUGUUGAGAUGCCCCGGGAUGAAAAUUAGAAAGGGUGAACCAACGAUGAAAAGAAUUUGAACAUGAUUUUGGAGAAGGAAUAUGACUGAUGAAAAUUCAUUCUUACGUCACACCUUGAAAAUGAAUUUGGGAAUAGCUCCGGCAAAAUUAGAAGAGUCCGGUAAGAUCCUGGGAAAAGACCUGUGGGUUAGGGCCCCCUCAAAAGAAACACCAUUGAACGAAUUAAAAGAUAGAUUGCACCGGUUGAAUUAAAUGGCUUGAAUAAGGUAAGACCUCGAAAUAGCUAGAAUUGAUGUGGAGUUGAAACACGAAUCUUCAAAGAUAUCUUCAGCACUCCGGAACAAUUGAAUAGCGAGAAGUGGAUGAUUAAGAGGUGCACCGGUACGAGAAAAACAAUUGAAACGAGGAAAAUAUAUGAUCGACAAAGCUUGAAUUGAAUCCACCGGAGAAGAAAAUGAGAACGAAGACGGAUGAACUUGAAGCUCCGUUAGUAUCUUCCUGAGAAUCACCGGAUAAGAACAUUGACGGAAAAGGAUGGAGAGGCUUCCCAUCCAUAAAAGGAUACAUGAUUGAGAAAUCUGAGUCAUUGAAGAAAAGGGUGGGAGGGCGGGAAAACAAAGACAACUUGGGACAGAUGAAGCAAACACCGUUGCAAAGAACUGAGAAUUGAUCUCGCGAAUGUUGAAAUGAUCGGAUCCACUUGAAAAAGAGCACGUCGGUUGGAAAAGAAUUGGCAUGACAAUCCCGAUGAUCAAGAAGGAUUUGGUAUUCACAUAGAAGUAUGAGAACACCGCUUAGGAAAGGUAUGGAAUCAACACCUGACAAUGAAGCAACUCGAAUACCACAACUUAAAACAAAACAAAGGAUUGGCUCGCAGAAUAAGCCAGAAACAAACAUAUGAUAGAGAUUUCGCCCAAGUGUUCGUGAUGAGGCCCCACGGGCACGACGUACAGCGGACGUCACAAAUGACAAACAAGACGUGCCCGAAUUGGCAUAGCCAAGGAUUCUUUAAGACGACUCGCGACCACUGUAAAUCGACUGUGAAAAGCGAACCACUAGACGUUGGACCCCAAUCUCAAAUCAUACAUCCGUCGAAAAGAUAUCCUAGGAGCUACUUGAAUUCCCACCUAUAAAACUCCCAAAACUUUCUGGUUAUGCAAUCUGGUGUUGGGUAUCCAGGGGACGCAAUAUAUCUCACCCAAACUAGCAAUCCCUAGAUCCAGCUGUAUCCAUCCGUCAACACAUAACCAAGAAAACUUCGGAAAUCGUGUACCCCAACCUUCGAAAAGCAUCCGUUAUACGAGCUAUGGCAAUACUCCCGAACUCCCGCCCCAGUACUGGGUGGCAUCGAGGUAAUCUCACCAACAACUGCAUAAAAUAGGUUUUCGAUGUCGGCGAAAAAAACUCAGGUAUUCCAGAACCGCAACGAUAAAGAUGUGACGACAACACGUCGGAGCUCAACUCCCCGGGACACUGCCACAACCCCUAAAUGUCAGGAGGCACCAAGAACAAUGUUCUUGUCACAAAACCAUCGGAACGAUUCCAAGAUACCCGCGUGAUCCUAAAUUUUUUUUGUGAAAUUUGAGGAGAGGAAAGUCAAAACAUCUACGUCAGGAGGCCUCACCGGAGCGACGAAGGGACUGAGGAGUAAAAAGAAUCCUACUCUCUGAUAUAUAUAUAUAUAUAAUCCUAAGAAUCAAAACAUUUUUUUCUAGACUCAACAACGUCAGCGAUUCGAUCAAGCAGAGGGCUCCUAAGUCGGGGAUGGCUCUGAUUACCAACUUGUAACGCCCACGAUGCGGCUAUAUCUCCCACGUGUCGAGGCACGACUUGGAGGCAUAACCGCAUGGUGGUUUUGUCGCAAGAAGGGUCAUCUUCACGCAAUCCCAUGUAAUGAACAAGAAUGGGAUUAAGAGUUGGCUUACAAUCGCCACUUCACACAAUACAUAAAUUAAACAUACAUCAUUCAGAGUACAAUCAAGAUCCGACUACGGAACCAAAAUAAAGGAAGACAACCCCAAAUGCUAGAUCCCCGAUCGUCCCAACUGGGCUCCACUACUGAUCAACAGGAAACAAAACAUAGUAACGACCAAGGUCCUCGUCGAACUCCCACUUGAGUU